ensembl:lncRNA
GUAAGUCUCUAAUGUAUUUAUUUAGUCUUUAAAUGAGCGUUGUUUGUUCACUGGCAUAAUAACAGCAGGCGUAUGCCUAAUUGUAGACUUAAGGCAUGUUUUGUAUGAGAUGAUUCACAGAGAGUGAAAUGGGACUGUAGGUACUAGUAGAAGAACCACAAGCCAAUUUCAACGCUAGCUAAUACUUGCAGUACAACCACAAGGUUACACUGUCUCAUUCGACGUCCCCACACAGUACACGCAUGUGCACUCACACAAACAUAUGCUGAACAAACACACUGAACCCCCCCCACACACACACAUGUCCGCAUCACCUUCCAUGCUUAUGUGCACCUAUGGAAUGUAACAACCGUACAUUGACUAUAGCUCAGCCUUCAACUCAAUAGUAACCCUCCAAGCGCAUCAUUAAGCUCCGGGCCCUGGGUCCGGACCCCACCCUGUACCACUGGGUCCUGGUCUUCCUGACGGGCCGAACCCCAGGGGGUCAAGGGUCAGAAACAACACCUCUACUUAGCUAAUCCUCAAUAUGGGCCCCACAAGGAUGUGUGCUCAGCCCCUCCUGUGCUCCCUCUUCACCCAUGACUGCGUGGCCACGCACGCCUCCAACUCAAUCAUCAAGUUUUCAGACGACACAACAGUAGUAGGCAUGAUUACCAACAAUGACAAGACGGCCUACAGGGAGGAGGUGAGGGCCCUGGCGGAGAGGUGCCAGGGAAAUAACCUCUCCCUCAACGUCAACAAAAUGAAGGAGCUGAUCGUGGACUUCAGGAAACAGCAGAGUGAGCACGCCCCUAUCCACAUCGACGGGACCGCAGUGGAGAAGGAGGUCCAAGAAGCUCCCUGAUAAUAAGCCCUGUUGGCCCUCACACUUUGCUGCCUGCCUGAGAUAUGAGACGAGGGGGAGAGAGAGUCAACCCAACCUAACC